rnacentral:rRNA from 1 species
AUGGCGACGCCGAGCAAGUCCGGCUUGGAGCAGCACUUGUUCCGCAUCACCCUCUCCUCCAACUCCAACAGCGUCCACGACCUAGACAAGGUGUGCUCCGACGUGGUCAAGGCCGCCGAGGAGAAGCUGGUCCGGGUGAAGGGCCCGGUCAGGAUGCCCACCAAGGUGCUCAGCAUCACCACCAGGAAGUCACCCUGCGGACAAGGUACCAACACAUGGGAUCGGUUCGAGAUGCGGGUGCACAAGAGGGUCGUCGACCUCGUCGGCUCCCUGGACAUCAUUAAGCAGUUCCCAGUCCCCAUCCCGCCCACCGUCCACGUUGAGGUCACCAUCACCGACCUUUAA